rnacentral:rRNA from 3 species
GGAUGCGAUCAUACCAGCACUAAAGCACCGGAUCCCAUCAGAACUCUGAAGUUAAGCGUGCUUGGGCGAGAGUAGUACUGGGAUGGGUGACCUCCUGGGAAGUCCUCGUGUUGCAUUCC